UCACUUUAGCAGCAAAUACACUAAAAUUGCAAUGAUACAGAAAAGAUUAGCAUGGCUCCUGUGCAAGGAUGACACACAAAUUCAUGAUGUAUUCCAUAUUUUU
rnacentral:snRNA from 1 species